GAUUGUUGAGGUCGGAAAGGUUCCCGACACACUCCGCAUAUGUGGAGUACCUGAGAUGCAGGAUACACCGCCCUGCCAUCAAUC
rnacentral:ncRNA from 12 species